UACAGAGGGGGCAAGCGUUGUUCGGAAUUACUGGGCGUAAAGGGCGCGUAGGCGGCCCGCUAAGUCGAACGUGAAAUCCCCAGGCUCAACCUGGGAACUGCGUCCGAUACUGGCAGGCUUGAAUCCGGGAGAGGGAUGUGGAAUUCCAGGUGUAGCGGUGAAAUGCGUAGAUAUCUGGAGGAACACCGGUGGCGAAGGCGGCGUCCUGGACCAACACUGACACUGAGGAGCGAAAGCCAGGGGAGCAAACGGG
rnacentral:rRNA from 1 species